rnacentral:rRNA from 1 species
AUUGAACGCUGGCGGCAGGCCUAACACAUGCAAGUCGAGCGGAGCGGGGGACGGGUGAGUGAUGCCUAGGAAUCUGCAUGGUAGUGGGGGAGAACGUCAGGAAACGGGCGCUAAUACCGAAAACUAUCACAUGAGGCUAGGUCGGAUUAGCUAGUUGGUGGGGUAAGGGCCUACCAAGGCGACGAUCCGUAGCUGGUCUGAGAGGAUGAGCAGUCACACUGGAACUGAGACACGGUCCAGACUCCUACGGGAGGCAGCAGUGGGGAAUAUUGGACAAUGGGCGAAAGCCUGAUGCAGCCAUGCCGCGUGUGUGAAGAAGGCCUUCGGAUUGUAAAGCACUUUCAGCUGGGAGGCGUUACCAGCAGAAUAAGCACCGGCUAACUCCGUGCCAGCAGCCGCGGUAAUAC